GACGAACGCUGGCGGCGUGCUUAACACAUGCAAGUCGAACGGUGAACGAGGGAGCUUGCUCCCUCCGGAUCAGUGGCGAACGGGUGAGUAACACGUGGGCAAUCUGCCCCGAACUCUGGGAUAAGCGUUGGAAACGACGUCUAAUACCGGAUACGACGCGGGAGGGCAUCCUCUCCGCGUGGAAAGAACUUCGGUUCGGGAUGAGCUCGCGGCCUAUCAGCUUGUUGGUGAGGUAACGGCUCACCAAGGCGACGACGGGUAGCCGGCCUGAGAGGGUGACCGGCCACACUGGGACUGAGACACGGCCCAGACUCCCACGGGAGGCAGCAGUGGGGAAUAUUGCACAAUGGGCGCAAGCCUGAUGCAGCAACGCCGCGUGAGGGACGACGGCCUUCGGGUUGUAAACCUCUUUUAGCAGGGAAGAAGCGAAAGUGACGGUACCUGCAGAAAAAGCACCGGCUAACUACGUG
rnacentral:rRNA from 1 species